UAACCUCUCUUUCUUCUUCAAGUAAUGUCCCUAUGGGUGCUCCACUUCAGGUAACUCCCGAGCCAUAUCCCCAUAAGGAGAAGGAUGCUUCAGAAUUGAGUCGAGCACAGAGGAAAGAACUGCACUGCCAACUGCUACAUCAGCUCUAGAGGCACUGACUAAGGCAUAGUGCCUGGGGAAGGUAGAAGGAUAACAUCCUCUUGACAUCUUCAGUAUGGAAGGCAGUCUCUAGAUUGGAAUUAUGUGGUCUUGGAAAGAACACUGGCCUGUAAUUGACCUGACUCACAUGAAACUCAGAAGACAGUUUAGGAAGAAAUCUGGUGUGUGGUCGUAAGGUAUUUCUGGUAGAAUCUUUCCUAUUUUAUCUAUUGUACUUCUGCAACACAGACCAACUCUAACCCCUAACUCGAACCAUCAAGGAGCCACGCCUUCAGGUGGAGAAUGCUCAGAUUACAAUGCAGCAGUUGACUGACCCUGGGAGAGAAGUGAUUAGAAGAUUUAUCACAGAACAAAGUGCUAGGCGAAACAGACCCAAGUCCAAGAACAAAAAGUGUUCUGUUUGGCAGACAACAUUUCUUGGUAUGACCGAACCUUGAGAAACAAAUCGUCAAGGCAUGGGAAUACUGUAAUGGGAAUACUGUGAUCGCCUGACGAAACAGAUGGUACUGGAGCCUUCUCAGAGCCAGGUCUACUCUUCAAGCUGCUGGAUUUUCCUGACUGGUACUGGAGGAGCCCUUCACCUUUAUGGUACCAAGCCUUGAGGAUGAAGUCUCUGAGGCUGCUGACCUGGUCGAAGAGCGAGGCUUUUUGAGAUGGAUCUCUUCAGAGGGGAAAUAGAGCUUCUCUUUUUAGGAUCUUUAGAGGAGGUCUCUGAGGCUUUCCCUUUUUCAGGAGACUGUUGCACGAAAGUCAAAGGGGCGCUAGAGGGACUGAUGUACGGGGUGCAGGGGUUCUUCUGACUUGGCUCCGAAGUGGGGAGAAGGGAGCACUCUUUCAUUAACAGUCACAGCUUGAGUUUCCGGUUCUUCUGUGGCCUGGAUUUGAGGGCUAACUGGAAGUUACACUUCUGUGGACCAUGCAACUCUCCCAGGCAGUGAACCCACUUAGAGUGUCCAUCGCUGAUCAGGAUAGCUUCUGUCCAUGUGAGGCAACAUUUAAACCCCGGUGAACCGGGCAGGCCCCUCACAGACGGGAUUUUCCCAAAGGAAAUAAAACAAUCUUUCAAUAACCAGUAACUAACUACUGUAGUACUACUAACAAAUUAACUCAACUAAAUAAACUCAGUAGAAUAAACUCAGAAAGAACUUGAGGUAGGCACAAUGUUGACAUGCUAAGCUCCACCUCAGGCUGAGGCAGUUGAGAAAAAACAGAGGGCAGUUUGCCUGCGCAGCCUCAUAUAGCCUCAGUGUGGAGCAUGAGGAUAGCAGCAGCGCAUGUGCUAGCCAAAUGGACAUUGCUGAUGAAAAUCUUUGAUCAAAGACAUGUGGGAUGCAAGCGCACCUGAAGUGAAGCACCCAUAGGAACACUACUCAAAGAACUGCAAUUUCUCUUGCCUACUGUAAGUACAGGAGAUUAUUACAGACCAGCCAGAAGAUAUGCCUGUUAAAAUCAAAAGAAUUUUAUAAUAUACUCUAUAAAAAUGAAUGAUAUUUCUGCUACUUAUAAAAUAUUGAAAGGAAUUCAUGUUACUCAGCCUUCCGGUUAGUUGUGAAAGUCUACUGCAUCUACAGAUACCUGCUCUUGGAUUGAUGCACAUUAUGGUGAGCAGGUUCAGGAGUGAGGCAUUUUAGGAGGAAAGUUAAUGAAGGAAAAAUAAUAUUUUACCAUUUGUUUUAAA